CCUACGGGAGGCAGCAGUGAGGAAUAUUGGUCAAUGGACGAGAGUCUGAACCAGCCAAGUAGCGUGAAGGAUGACUGCCCUAUGGGUUGUAAACUUCUUUUAUAAAGGAAUAAAACGAGGCACGUGUGCCUUUUUGCAUGUACUUUAUGAAUAAGGAUCGGCUAACUCCGUGCCAGCAGCCGCGGUAAUACGGAGGAUCCGAGCGUUAUCCGGAUUUCUUGGGUUUAAAGGUAGCGUAGAUGGGUUGUUAAGUCAGUUGUGAAAGUUUGCGGCUCAACCGUAAAAUUGCAAUUGAUACUGGCAGUCUUGAGUACAGUUGAGGUAAGCGGAAUUCGUGGUGUAGCGGUGAAAUGCUUAGAUAUCACGAAGAACCCCGAUUGCGAAGGCAGCUUACUAAACUGUGACUGACAUUGAUGCUCGAAAGUGUGGGUAUCAAACAGGAUUAGAUACCCUGGUAGUC
rnacentral:rRNA from 1 species